AGAGUUUGAUCCUGGCUCAGAAUGAACGUUGGCGGCGUGGAUUAGGCAUGCAAGUCGGACGCCCCGCAAGGGGCGUGGCGCAAGGGUGAGUAAGGCGACGGCAACCUACCCCAGGGCCGAGCAUAGCCGCGGGAAACUGCGGGUAAUUCUCGGCGACCUCGCGAGCCGGCAUCGGUUGGCGGGUAAAGGUGCGAUUCCGCCCUGGGACGGGCCGUCGUGGUAUUAGCUGGAUGGUGGGGUAACGGCCUACCAUGGCUCUGAUGCCUACCGGGCGUGCGAGCGUGGCCCGGCACACUGGGACUGAGACACUGCCCAGACACCUACGGGUGGCUGCAGUCGAGAAUCUUCGGCAAUGGGCGCAAGCCUGACCGAGCGACGCCGCGUGGAGGAUGAAGGCCUUCGGGUUGUAAACUCCUGUCGAGGGGGAAUAAGGGCCGGUGAAGAGCCGGCCUUGCGUGAUCCCUGGAGGAAGCACGGGCUAAGUUCGUGCCAGCAGCCGCGGUAAGACGAACCGUGCGAACGUUAUUCGGAAUCACUGGGCUUAAAGCGCGUGUAGGCGGUCCGGCACGUCCGAGGCUGAAAGCCCCCGGCUCAACCGGGGAACCGGCCGGGAUACGACCGGACUG
rnacentral:rRNA from 1 species